AACCAAGAAAUUUAGUCAUUCUUUUGCGGUAAAAAGACAGUUAGGCAAGUGUAAUAGGAAUCAUUGGAUCUUUAGUAGAGGAGUAAAAUCUAAAUACUAAAAGCUAUACCGAGUGUGGUUUAUUUAAGAUGCUGAGUCUGUGACAGCUUCAAGGGAAACUGGGAUUGGAUACCCCAUUAUUUUUAGUUAUAAAUUAGUUUAGGCUUACCAGAGUACUACGAAUAAAAAGUUUAAAACUCAAAGAGCUUGGCGGUGUUUUAGACCUCUCAGGGGAACCUGUCUCGUAAUCGACAAUCCACGUUAAACCUAACCUUUUAUGGUAAUACAGCCUGUAUACCGUCGUCGUCAGGUAACUUCUUAAAACAUAGUAGUUAGCUCGAGAAUUUAAUUAAUUAGGACGUCAGAUCAAGGUGCAGCUAAUGAGAAGGUGAGGAUGGGUUACAAUUACAUAUUUGUAAAUACGGAAAACACUUGAAAUGAAGUGUCUUAAAGGAGGACUUGAAAGUAAUUUUAAUUAUAUAGAUGGAAUGAAUGCGGCUCUGAAACGUGC
rnacentral:rRNA from 1 species